rnacentral:lncRNA from 1 species
CGCAACCGAAAAGUAAACUAAACAACUAAUUAACGAACUAGAAAAUUAAAUUUGGGUUUUCAAAUUAAUGGGAACAUGGGAGUGUCUGGUGAUUCACACUAACUAUCUUGCAAAUAUCAAUGCCAAUUUUACAAAUGCAUGAAUUUCCUUUAUGUGUCAAGUCCCGUAUCUAGUACCGGUUAAGGCUACUAAACCAAUUAUCCUUUCGGUGUAUCGAUUAUGCCGGUUAGGGCCACAAUCAACUCUCUAAUUUGGGCAUUACGCCGGUUAAGGCCGCAAUAUCCAAAAUUAGAGGCCUAGAGUGCAAGAUAAUAGAGACCCAAGCAAGCUUAGCUACAAUUAAGCUAGCUAAUGGUUACCACACUUAAAUCCUAGAUGCAACAAGACCAAUAAGUUGUCAAUUUAUCAAUCC